UUUUGUCUUCUGAUCUGCUCUGUCUGAUUUUGUUCAGAAUUGGCAGUUGUUUUGAUGUCAAUGAUCAACAGUUAGGGUAUUCUGGACUAUCAUUGGGUAGAGAAGUGCUCAUAUCUAUUCGACAGCUGAAAAAGUGAAUGUUUGAACACAGCAUAAAUGUUUUUGGGCCGGGGACUAUCUCACGCAUUGUAGUUUGUAAUUCUUAUGUAAUCGUGCGUUGUGGCCGAAUGGUAUUGGAGCGUUAGGACGAUUCUUAUUCAUAAAUUUCAAUUUGAUAUAGUGGGCUUCUUAUAGAUACCUCAAUGUCUGGAGGCACACUGACUGGUGUGAGAGUGUUUGUGAAGAGAAACUUUGUGUCAGUUAUCUUUCCAAUUAUAUGUUUUGGAUCUAUUGCUGCUGAUUAUUCACACACGAAAGCAUGGAAAGCUAGCAAAUUGGCAGCUGCACAGCCCGCAUAAUGUGGGCAUUCCACAGAACAGCUUUGCUGCUAGCUUUACCCUUUUGUGGGCCACACCAUGUCAUCAGUGUGAUAUGAAGUUACUGAAUAGUCAAUAGGAGGCUGACUUGAAUCAUCAACAGUUUAAACCAACAUGACCUGUCUGGUGAUGUAUUUGUUAUUUUUAUCAUAACAAAUGAGAGUAUGUAACAGAACAAUGGUCACAUGGCUACUAUUUACAUACAAAGCAGGUUUGGCAGACCUGCUCUUUCCUUUGCAGUUUUGUUGUGCGAGUGAAUGUACCUACUCUAUUGAAGUAAUAUAUUAACAAAAUCCA